UGCCUACACAUGCAAGUCGAACGAACCCUUCGGGGUUAGUGGCGCACGGGUGCGUAACGCGUGGGAACCUGCCUUUAGGUUCGGAAUAACUCAGAGAAAUUUGAGCUAAUACCGGAUAAUGUCUUCGGACCAAAGAUUUAUCGCCUUUAGAUGGGCCCGCGUUAGAUUAGAUAGUUGGUGGGGUAAUGGCCUACCAAGUCGACGAUCUAUAGCUGGUCUGAGAGGAUGAUCAGCCACACUGGGACUGAGACACGGCCCAGACUCCUACGGGAGGCAGCAGUGGGGAAUAUUGGACAAUGGGCGAAAGCCUGAUCCAGCAAUGCCGCGUGAGUGAUGAAGGCCUUAGGGUUGUAAAGCUCUUUUACCAGGGAUGAUAAUGACAGUACCUGGAGAAUAAGCUCCGGCUAACUCCGUGCCAGCAGCCGCGGUAAUACGGAGGGAGCUAGCGUUGUUCGGAAUUACUGGGCGUAAAGCGCGCGUAGGCGGCGUAUCAAGUCAGGGGUGAAAUCCCGGGGCUCAACCCCGGAACUGCCCUUGAAACUAGUAUGCUAGAAUACUGGAGAGGUGAGUGGAAUUCCGAGUGUAGAGGUGAAAUUCGUAGAUAUUCGGA
rnacentral:rRNA from 1 species